AGAAUCUUGCGCAAUGGGCGAAAGCCUGACGCAGCGACGCCGCGUGGAGGAUGACGGCCCUCGGGUUGUAAACUCCUUUUCCACAGGAAGAUGAAGACGGUACUGUGGGAAGAAGCCCCGGCCAAUUACGCGCCAGCAGCCGCGGUAAGACGUAAGGGGCAAGCGUUGUCCGGAAUCACUGGGCGUAAAGCGCGCGUAGGCGGUUUGGUAAGUCGGGUGUGAAAGCCUCAGGCUCAACCUGGGAACUGCGCCCGAAACUGCCUCACUGGAGGGACGGAGAGGUGCACGGAAUUCCCGGUGUAGGGGUGAAAUCCAUAGAUAUCGGGAGGAACACCAAUGGCGAAGGCAGUGCACUGGACGUCACCUGACGCUGAGGUGCGAAAGCGUGGGGAGCG
rnacentral:rRNA from 1 species